rnacentral:rRNA from 1 species
GACGAACGCUGGCGGCGUGCCUAACACAUGCAAGUCGAGCGGAGUCGAUCGACGGAAGCCUUCGGGCGGAAGAUGGUUGACUUAGCGGCGGAUGGGUGAGUAACGCGUGGGCAACCUGCCUCGAAGACCGGGAUAACAGCCCGAAAGGGCUGCUAAUACCGGAUGUGGUCAAAGAUCCGCAUGGAUUUUUGAUUAAAGGGGAAACCCGUUUCGAGAUGGGCCCGCGUCCUAUCAGCUAGUUGGUGAGGUAAAAGCUCACCAAGGCGACGACGGGUAGCCGGCCUGAGAGGGUGACCGGCCACACUGGAACUGAGACACGGUCCAGACUCCUACGGGGGCAGCAGUGGGGAAUCUUCCACAAUGGGCGAAAAGCCUGAUGGAGCGACGCCGCGUGAGCGAAGAAGGCCUUCGGGUUAGUUAAAGACGUACUGUCUGGAGGGACGAAGGAAGUGACGGUACCUCGGAGGAAGCCGACGGCUAACUACGUGCCAGCCGCCGCCGGUAAAACCGAACGUAAUAGUCUCUGAGACGGCCG